UUGAAGAAGACUUUGAACUAGUGACAGUGGCAACCGCGGUGACUCAGGUUUGUGUGACCCUUAGAGGCUGAAGGAGUCUGGAAGUAACCAGCUGCUAAUGGUUUUGGUUCAGCAGCUCAAUGGAAUCACAUCUGCAAGAUGACUGCCUCAGCUUCAGCCAUCCCAUCCUUUUCCAAGGCAGGAAAAAUGAGGCAUUCACCUUCACUACAAGGAUGGGGUUAGAAACUCUUAGCUCAUGGAUGAUUCUGCCAACGUUUGCCUCAGCUACUCCUUAUGUCUUCUGCUUCUGCAGUGUUCAAUCCAAGAAAUUAGAAUUUCCAGUACUCACUUGAACCAAAGAACGUGGUCUAUUUCAAGUAUUCAAAUCCUAUGUGACAUCUAGAUCCUCUGGCCACAUUGACUAAACAGACAUCAGAUGAACCAUAUCUAGGGUAACAACAUUACUGUUACAACAUUUUGAUUGAUAUGACGUAUCUAUUAAGGAUGCUCACCCACCCAUUUAUACUGCCUGGUUUUACUGAGUCAUCACCCAUUUCUUUGGGCAUUUAGAGACAUGGAUAAUUCUUAUAGUUAAA